AUCUACGUCCAUACCACUCUGAAAGCUCCCGAUCUCGUCUGAUCUCCGAAACUAAGCAGGGUCGGGCGUGGACUUGAGUGGACUUGGAUGCGAGACCGCCUGGGAAUCCCGGGUGUUGUAUGCU
rnacentral:rRNA from 1 species